GCAGCUAGACGGCGUACGCCGACUAGCGACACAGGAGCCAAGUGGGGCUGUUACAGCUUUUCCUCCGCUUAUUGAUAUGCACGGACCUGCAUAAUUCCCUGGGAAAAGGGGACCAUAAAGGGGGAUAAUCCCGACCAUGGCAUGGAGCGCCCGAGGCUUUGUGAUUCGCUUUCUAAAAGUCGAGUUGUUUGGGAAUGCAGCUCAAAUGGGAGGUAAAUGCCUUCCAAGGCUUAUAUUGGGGAGUGACCGAUAGCGAAAAGUAAUGUGAUGGAAAAAUGAAAAGAACUAUGAAAAGAAAGUUAAACAGUACGUGAAAUUGCCAAAAGGGAAGGGUAGGAGGCUUGAAAUGCGUUCUGGGAUUCCGCCUUGCACUUGCUUGGUGUCCUUCCCAGAUGGUAGGGCAACGUCGGUUUUGGGCGCUGGAAAAGGGCGGAAGGAAUGCGCUCCCUCUCGUGGUGUGUUCUUCCUAUUACUGGAUACAGUGACCGAGACCGAGGACAGCCUAUACUCGCAAGAGCGUGCCUUCGGGCUCCUUCACUAUUACGGCGUCGCAUAAUGGUCCUCUACCACCCGUCUUGAAACACGGACCAUUU
rnacentral:rRNA from 1 species